GCAGGCGUGGCGGAACUGGUAGACGCGCUAGACUUAGGAUCUAGUGGAAUAUUCCGUGGGGGUUCAAGUCCCUUCGCCUGCACCA
rnacentral:tRNA from 2 species